GAUGAACGCUGGCGGCGUGCCUAAUACAUGCAAGUCGAGCGAACAGACGAGGAGCUUGCUCCUUGGACGUUAGCGGCGGAGGGGUGAGUAACACGUGGAUAACCUACCUAUAAGACUGGGAUAACUACGGGAAACCGGAUCUAAUACCAGAUAAGAUAUUGAACCGCAGGGUUCAAUAGUGAAAGACGGUGUUGCUGUCACUUAUAGAUGGAUCCGCGCGGCAUUAGCGAGUUGGUAAGGUAAAGGGUUACCAAGGCAAGGAUGCGUAGCCGACGUGUGAGAGUGAUCGGCCACACUGGAGCUGAGACAGGGACCAGGCGCCUACGGGAGGCAGCAGUAGGGAAUCUUCCGCAGUGGGCGGAAGCCUGGCGGAGCAACGCGGCGUGAGUGAUGAAGGUCUUCCGAGCGUGAUGCUCUGUUAUUAGGGAGGAACAACUGUGUACGUAACUGUGCACGUCUUGACGGUAACUAAUCAGAAAGCCCCGGCUAACUACGUG
rnacentral:rRNA from 1 species